UGUAGGACAGAGGGGCCCUGAAGGAAAAAAAGGUGACAUGGGUCACAUGGGCCAAAUAGGUAUCGUGGGUCCUAGGGGAUUUCCUGGCCAAGAUGGGUUACCUGGACAACCAGGCCAGCCAGGAUAUCCUGGAAAACCUGUGAGUAAAACUCACUUAUGACUUUGCCCUGUUGCAGAAACAGAAAGAAGAUAAAAUCAGUAAUUUCCUGUCUCUGCAAUGGGAGUUAUGUUUCAGUGUACAGGAAGUGCUGUCAGGGUGUCGGUUACUGCAUGUGAAGAACGGAAUGUCGGAUCUUGUUAAACUGUGAUGCAGUCUAAAUCCUUGAGACGCUGAAGGCAGUAAAAUGUGGACCUGUGUUGCAGGGCAAGCCUCCCUCGGAUGAGCAUUUACUGAAGCUCUGCACAGAUGUUCUGCGUAACCAGCUCCCAGCACUCCUCCAGACCUUGGCCCCCACAGGUAGAUGUGAACCCUGUCUGAACACUAAAGGCUCCCCAGGUGUGCCCGGAGCACCUGGUCCCAAAGGAUCAGUGGGAACCCCAGGCUACCCCGGCAGGAGGGGAGCUCCUGGAUACCAAGGACCUCCUGGAUUCCAGGGUCCCGCGGGGCUGAAAGGUGACAUGGGACUAAGGGGACCUAAAGGCGGCAAAGGUGAAGGUUACCGUGGACCUCCAGGACCACCAGGGCAACCAGGAAUUCAAGGUCCUCGUGGCUUCGAUGGACUCGGCCAUCCGGGCAACCAAGGAAUUCCUGGAGAGCCAGGGCCGCCAGGAGACCCCGGUAAACGAGGCGACCCAGGGAUCCCGGGGGUGUGUGAUGUUUCUAUGUGUUAUCAGACCUACAACCUCAGGGAACACUACAGCAAAGGACCCAACAUCUGAGCUGACGCACCAGCGUGGGAGAAGCUGCUUUGGAUUGAAUCUCCCGUGGGUUUUAAAAAAAAAGUGAUCCACUGUAGUUUGGUCUUACUAAAGUGCACGUGCGAGACUGUUGUCACCUUUUUGAGCAGCUCCACCAAGGAAAGAUAAAAGCGAGAAAUCGUCCGUGCUUUGAUUCAUGAUUAGGAAGUUCAUGAUCAAAUCAAAGACAGUAGCAGCAACUGACUCAGAACACCAAGCCGACAUGAACUUCAUACUUUAAACUUGUUAAAGUGUUACUGCAGGUUCAAACCAAAGUUUCUGAUCCUCCCAGGUAAGUUUGAUGAGCACCAGUGUGGCUGUUAGCUAAGGUGUGCUGUGUUCAGUCAGAGGUAAUGAGUUAAGGGUUGGAAAAUCUACAAAACGGCUACCUCCACUUUUACUAAUGUCUUUAUUGACCCUAAAGGAAAACUUGUUUUGGGAUUUAAGGGUAAGUUUUUGCACAACUGCACCAACUGAAUGCCUUUUUGUCUACCAAACAAAAUACUGUGGCCCUAAUGUAGCAUAAAAACUCCUUUGCUGAUGCUCGAUAUCUGGUGCUUGUGCUUAUUAAUUUCCAUGUCAUAAUAAAACCAUAAAAAAUUCAAUUAUAAAUUAUACAGUAGAACCUCCCCCACACCCUACAUACUGUGCCUUUAAUGAUGCAGAAAGUCUCAGGUCAUAAGAAAAGAUGAUUAGUCUGCUAUCAUAAGAAGUGCAGUCAAAUUUCAACAUGCUGGCAAACAACUACAGUUAACCUAAAGGGGUCAGGUUGUAAUUAAAUAUAACCAGGUGGGAUUCUUGCAUAUAUACUGUAUAUAUAUAUAUAUACACUUUUCUGUGAGUUUAUGUCGCUUUAAAAUUGCCCUUUUACCCCCCCCCCCACCACAAUUAGUUUGGUUUCAGUUUCAGACUGUGUAUUUACAAAAUUAUUGAAUUGUUUAUUUGUGUAUUUUGACAAAAAAUGUUUUGUUAAUGCAACUUCUUUUAUUUAGUCAACGGUUUAAAACUAAAAUUCAGAUUUCUUUUUCGUGGUCUUUUCCAUUGACUUUCAUUGCACAUAACAUUGGUUGAGUAAAGUCGAAUGAAGUCUUACAUGAAGCCAACACCCUCCCAUUAGGAUGGAAAUAUUAGGCCAAAGCUGGAUUUCAACCAGGGAUCCAAAGUAUGACAAAGAACUGACCACACCCUUAACCUCCCUUUGUCUGGAAAUCAGAUAAAAAUAAGGUCAGAUAAAACAGAAAUUUCAAGAGUGGGUUGUUGUAUUAAAAUCUGCACAUAGAUUUUAUUUUGAGUUUAGCUCUUUAGAAUUCAAACAAAGCAGUCAUUGUUGGACUCCCCUCUAAACUUUUUCACCAGGGCUGAACUUUGUGAAACAGCUGGCAUAGCUAAAAGAUUAAACUAUGAGUUAGUUUUGCCCCAUUUGCUUUAAUUUGUCUCCUCGCGGAGAGCGUCGCCUCUUCCGUGAGAGAGCGAUGGUUUGCAGACAGUUGAGAGGGAGAAACUGAUCAAUCAUGUAUGUUUUUAAACAAACCGACUGCUUUUCCUAAAUUCGCCGACUUAUUCUUCCAUUAGUGAACCGUCAGCUCAUUAGAGCCGCUCUCUUUCUACGUUAAAUGUUAUUGACAGACGUUGCUACUAGAGAACAAGAGGAGGAGCGCUGCUUAGCACAAAGGGUAUAACAAAGAAGCAGAGUUGUACAGAGACAGUCCUGAUGUUGGCUCAGUGAGGGAUGUUUCUGGUUCGUGGAGAGCAUUAGUUUGUGUGGUUGUGUUAUGCAAUAGCACAUUUAUGUGGCUUGGGUUAGUCUUAGUUAGAACCAUGAUAACUUAGCUGUGCUUGUACUUGCAGUGAAAUCACAGCUACCUGUCACGUGCAGGCAUCGCAGGAAGCAUUGCAGGAAGCAGGCAGGACCCAAAUGCAGUACUGGAGAGACUCUUUCUGGUGCAGGUAGUUUAUUUACAAGUGCAAGGCCAAAACAACAACAACAAAAAAAAUCACUUCUUCACAAGACCAGGAACAAGGCAUAAACCAGACAAGGAAUAAACUACUAAGUACAAACUAAGAACUCAGAGGACACACUAAGCUGAGCACA